GUCUUAUCAAGAAAGGUCGAGGGAACAGGCCCGAUGACGCCUUGGCAACCAUCCCGUCUUUAAGAGGGAAAGGUGCUAAUUCCUGCCCCAACUUUAAUGUUGCGGGGAAGAUAAGAA
rnacentral:ncRNA from 2 species